rnacentral:rRNA from 1 species
UGCGUAGGCGGUGCGGAAAGUCGGGUGUGAAAUCCCCCAGCUCAACUGGGGAAUUGCGCCUGAAACUACCGUGCUCGAGGAAGACAGAGGUACGCGGAACUUAGGGUGGAGCGGUGAAAUGCGUUGAUAUCCUAAGGAACACCGGUGGCGAAAGCGGCGUACUGGGUCUUAUCUGACGCUGAGGCACGAAAGCUAGGGUAGCGAAG